UCGCCGAAAGGGUAAAGCACGGGUAACCGUGUGGCACAAAGCCACCAUCCAGAAUGGUCUGGAUAGCGGGGCUGUCGAA
rfam:Pelobacter propionicus DSM 2379, complete genome.